rnacentral:rRNA from 1 species
CAGCAGCCGCGGUAAUACGAGGGGGGCAAGCGUUGUUCGGAAUUAUUGGGCGUAAAGGGUGCGUAGGCGGUUUGACAAGUCUUAUGUGAAAUCUUCGGGCUCAACCCGAAGUCUGCAUAGGAAACUGUCGGGCUUGAGUAUGGGAGAGGUGAGUGGAAUUUCCGGUGUAGCGGUGAAAUGCGUAGAUAUCGGAAGGAACACCAGUGGCGAAGGCGACUCUCUGGUCUGUAACUGACGCUGAGGAGCGAAAGCGUGGGGAGCGAACAGGAUUAGAUACCCGCGUAGUCCCUGUCUCUUAUAA